GCCCGGAGAUGGAUUCUGAGACACGAAUCCAGGCCCUACGGGGUGCAGCAGGCGCGAAAACUUUACAAUGCUGGCAACAGCGAUAAGGGAACCUCGAGUGCCAGGUUACAAAUCUGGCUGUCGAGAUGCCUAAAAAGCAUUUCAUAGCAAGGGCCGGGCAAGACCGGUGCCAGCCGCCGCGGUAACACCGGCGGCUCGAGUGGUAACCGUUAUUAUUGGGUCUAAAGGGUCUGUAGCCGGCCGGAUAAGUCUCUUGAGAAAUCUGGCAGCUUAACUGUCAGGCUUUCAGGAGAUACUGUCUGGCUCGAGGCCGGGAGAGGUGAGAGGUACUUCAGGGGUAGGGGUGAAAUCUUGUAAUCCUUGAAGGACCACCAGUGGCGAAGGCGUCUCACCAGAACGGACCUGACGGCAAGGGACGAAAGCUAGGGGCACGAACCGGAUUAGAUACCCGGGUAGUCCUAGCCGUAAACGAUACUCGCUAGGUGUCGGCCACGGUGCGACCGUUGUCGGUGCCGUAGGGAAGCCGUGAAGCGAG
rnacentral:rRNA from 1 species